AGGGUUCACUCAAGCGAAAGUUAU
rnacentral:siRNA from 1 species